rnacentral:rRNA from 2 species
AAGUGCGAUCAUACCAACACUAAUGCACCAGAUCCCAUCAGAAUUCUGCAUUUAAGCGUGCUUGGGCGAGAGUAGUACUACGAUGGGUGACCUCCUGGGAAGUCCUCGUGUUGCACCUC